UACAGAGGUCUCAGGCGUUGUUCGGAUUCAUUGGGCGUAAAGGGUGCGUAGGCGGCGCGGUAAGUCGGGUGUGAAAUCUCGGAGCUUAACUCCGAAACUGCAUUCGAUACUGCCGUGCUUGAGGACUGGAGAGGAGACUGGAAUUUACGGUGUAGCGGUGAAAUGCGCAGAUAUCAGGAAGAACACCUAUGGCGAAGGCAGCUCUCUGGGACGGUACUGACGCUGAGACGCGAAAGCGUGGGGAGCGAACAGG
rnacentral:rRNA from 1 species